UACGUAGGGUGCGAGCGUUGUCCGGAAUUACUGGGCGUAAAGAGCUCGUAGGUGGUUUGUCGCGUUGUUCGUGAAAUCUCACGGCUUAACUGUGAGCGUGCGGGCGAUACGGGCAGACUAGAGUACUGCAGGGGAGACUGGAAUUCCUGGUGUAGCGGUGGAAUGCGCAGAUAUCAGGAGGAACACCGGUGGCGAAGGCGGUUCUCUGGGCCUGUACUGACGCUGAGGAGCGAAAGCGUGGGGAGCGAACAGG
rnacentral:rRNA from 1 species